rnacentral:rRNA from 1 species
UACGAAGGGGGCUAGCGUUGUUCGGAUUUACUGGGCGUAAAGCGCACGCAGGCGGUCUUUUUAGUCAGAAGUGAAAGUCCUGGGCUCAACCUGGGGAUUGCUUUUGAUACUGGAAGACUAGGGUUCGCGAGAGGAUGGCGGAAUUCCCAGUGUAGAGGUGAAAUUCGUAGAUAUUCGGAAGAACACCAGUGGCGAAGGCGACAUACUGGUCCGUUACUGACGCUGAGGCUCGAAAGCGUGGGGAGCAAACAGGAUUAGAAA